rnacentral:rRNA from 1 species
UAACUCUAUCAUGGCAAUGGAACUGCAUAGACUAUGAGUAUGGUAGGAGUAGAGGGAAUUUSUAGUGUAGCGGUGAGAUGCGUAGAUAUUAGAGAGACACCGAGUGGCGAAAGCGCUCUACUGGACCAUU